CAGGUGUAGCAAUACAUGCUGGCGACCGGCGCACGGGUGCGUAACACGUAUGUAAUCUCUCCUUAACUUGGGAAUAGCUUUGAGAAAUCAGAAUUAAUACCCAAUAGUAUUAUGAAGUGGCAUCACUUUAUAAUUAAAGCUCCGGCGGUUAAGGAUGAACAUGCGUCCCAUUAGCUAGUUGGCGAGGUAACGGCUCACCAAGGCUACGAUGGGUAGGGGUUCUAAGAGGAUUUACCCCCACACGGGACUGAGACACGGCCCAGACUCCUACGGGAGGCAGCAGUUAGGAAUAUUGGACAAUGGGCGCAAGACUGAUCCAGCCAUGCCGCGUGAAGGAUGACGGCGCUAUGCGUUGUAAACUUCUUUUAUACGGGAAAAAACCCUUGGAUGCGUCCGAGGCUGAUUGUACCGUAAGAAUAAGGAUCGGCUAACUUCGUGCCAGCAGCCGCGGUAAUACGAAGGAUCCAAGCGUUAUCCGGAUUUAUUGGGUUUAAAGGGUGCGUAGGCGGUUUUGUAAGUCAGUGGUGAAAUCUUCGGGCUUAACCCGGAAAUUGCCAUUGAUACUGCAGAACUUGAGUACAUUUGAAGUGGGCGGAAUAUGACAUGUAGUGGUGAAAUACUUAGAUAUGUCAUAGAACACCGAUUGCGAAGGCAGCUCACUAAACUGUAACUGACGCUGAUGCACGAAAGCGUGGGGAUCAAACAGGAUUAGAUACCCUGGUAGUCCACGCCGUAAACGUUGAUAACUAGAUGUUGGCGAUACACUGUCAGCGUCUAAGCGAAAGCGAU
rnacentral:rRNA from 1 species